AAAAGAAACAUAUUGCAACAAAUUCCCAUUAAAAUAUAUCACAUUUUUCAAUAUUGCUAAAUUGUUCAGAAACAGGGUAUGGAACAUGGUUCCUCGAAUAUCUUCUGGCACAGACAUCUGAGGGCAUGGCCGUCCAAGAAGAAAAUGUAGCCAUUGGUGCCAUCUAUCGACCACAGGUUAGAGAUUGGCGAUCCGUUGGAUACCGACCGAGUUAUAGGCAAAAUUUGGUGCAAAAAUGACCCUUAGUAAAUUUUCAUUUUUUUGAAUUUGUUGAUUUUUUCAUUAUUUUUCACUCUUUUUUUUAUUUCAAUCAUUAUUUGAGUGAAAAGAAACUCAUUGCAACCAAUUGGGAUUAAAAUAAAACAAUUUUAUUUUUUUUGCAAAAUUUCUCAAAAAAAACGUAAGGGGUAAGCCUUAUGAAAUUUUCGAGUUGAAAUUUUUUUGAAAUUUUUUUUUCGAUUUUUUAUUCUUUUUUUAGUUUAAAGCAUUAUUUGAGUGAAAAGAAACAUAUUGCAACAAAUUCCCAUUAAAAUAUAUCACAUUUUUCAAUAUUGCUAAAUUGUUCAGAAACAGGGUAAGGAACUUGGUUCCCUGAAUAACUUCUGGCACAGACAUCUGACGGUAUGGCCGUCCAAGAAGAAAAUGUAGCCAUUGGUGCCAUCUAUCGACCACAAGUUAAAGAUUGGCGAUCCGUUGGAUACCGACCGAGUUAUAGGCAAAAGUUGGUGCAAAAAUGAGAAAAAUUUUACAUUUUAUCAAACAGGGUAAGGAACUUGGUUCCUCGAAUAACUUCUGGCACAGACAUCUGAGGGCAUGCCCGUCCAAGAAGAAAAUGUAGCCAUUGAUGCCAUCUAUCGACCACAGGUUAAAGAUUGGCGAUCCGUUGGAUACCGACCGAGUUAUAGGCAAAAUUUGGUGCAAAAAUGACCCUUAGUAAAUUUUCAUUUUUUUGAAUUUGUUGAUUUUUUCAUUAUUUUUCACUCUU